rnacentral:lncRNA from 1 species
GAGCCUGUUUAUAGGACCUGAGCACCCAUUGCUAUGGAUGGUAACUACAAGGAUAAGGUAAAAACCACCAGCACUUGUUUACGGAAUGCUUCCACACCAGCUUGCUCUCUGUGCCUGCCUUCAUUCCUACAGAAGGACAAUCUCAGCACCAAGCCAACCUCAAUGAUGAAAUCAACUCUACCUGUGAUUUCCACGGAAAAUUUUGUCCCACCUGUUAUGUCACGAUUUUUCUAGGAUUCGCAAAGAUUUGCAAGAACACAGGAAGGAGUCACGGAGCGGGGGGCUUGGCAUGUUGCUGGAAAUUUCCCAGUAGACCUGUUUCUUUGGCUGCAGCUCUUCUCUCUCCUGCAGGGUCGCCACCACUCUGGGCGCAUGAAUCAAAGCAUUCGCCUUCCCGAGGAGGGUCUCUUUCAGGCAGGGGUUCUCCUACCCCGCUGUCAUGGCGAUGUGGUUCGUUAUCCCAGAAGCAAGGGGACCUCAUUU